rnacentral:rRNA from 1 species
AGAGCGAACGCUGGCGGCAGGCUUAACACAUGCAAGUCGAGCGGGCGUAGCAAUACGUCAGCGGCAGACGGGUGAGUAACGCGUGGGAACGUACCUUUUGGUUCGGAACAACCCAGGGAAACUUGGGCUAAUAACCGGAUAAGCCCUUACGGGGAAAGAUUUAUCGCCGAAAGAUCGGCCCGCGUCUGAUUAGCUAGUUGGUGAGGUAAUGGCUCACCAAGGCGACGAUCAGUAGCUGGUCUGAGAGGAUGAUCAGCCACAUUGGGACUGAGACACGGCCCAAACUCCUACGGGAGGCAGCAGUGGGGAAUAUGGACAAUGGGCGCAAGCCUGAUCCAGCCAUGCCGCGUGAGUGAUGAAGGCCCUAGGGUUGUAAAGCUCUUUUGUGCGGAAGAUAAUGACGGUACCGCAAGAAUAAGCCCGGCUAACUUCGCGCCAGCAGCCGC